CUUUCCGUAAUAUUUGAUAAACACAGCAGCACGUAAGAUUUGAUCAACACAGCAACAAACUUUGAUUUCAAACUUUAAUUUCUACCGCAGCAAACUUUGAUUUCUUUCACACAGUAGUUGACGAACGAGUAAAUUCAAUCUAUUUAAACCUAAUUGUAUCAUCCUCAUUCCAUCAGCUUCGAAUCAUAAACCAUCAACUGAAUUCUCCAUUUGCUCUUUUCACAAAAUAACUCAAAUCUGCCACUCUCACUACAAAUUUCAGCUUUGCCACUUUCAGCUGGUGCGGCGCGACUAGGACGUGAACUUUAAAUUCUUGCAGUUAAUUUUCAAAACUCAAAAGUUCAAGUUUCAGUUUCAGGUGAUUGAUAUCGGAGGCGCGUGGAGAGUCGAAUGGGCGCGUCGAAUCUAUUUAAAAUAAAUGUUUCUUAAAACAUAUUAUGUUAUUUCAUGUUAUAUCUUUUGGUUAUGUAAACUCUGAAAUUCUAUACUAUUUGAGAUUUGUGUGUGAUUUAUUUAAAUAAAUGUUGUUAUAUUAUUUUAA